GUGCCAGCAGCCGCGGUAAUACGAAGGGGGCUAGCGUUGCUCGGAAUUACUGGGCGUAAAGCGCACGUAGGCGGAUUGUUAAGUCGGGGGUGAAAUCCUGGAGCUCAACUCCAGAACUGCCUUCGAUACUGGCGAUCUCGAGUUCGGGAGAGGUGAGUGGAACUGCGAGUGUAGAGGUGAAAUUCGUAGAUAUUCGCAAGAACACCAGUGGCGAAGGCGGCUCACUGGCCCGAUACUGACGCUGAGGUGCGAAAGCGUGGGGAGCAAACAGGAUUAGAUACCCCAGUAGUCC
rnacentral:rRNA from 1 species